rnacentral:misc_RNA from 1 species
GAUGAAGAACGUAGUGAAAUGCGAUACGUAAUGUGAAUUGCAGAAUUCAGUGAAUCAUCGAGUCUUUGAACGCACAUUGCGCCCUCUGGUAUUCCGGAGGGCAUGCCUGUCCGAGCGUCAUUGCUGCCCUCAAGCACGGCUUGUGUGUUGGGCCCCGCCCCCCGAUCCCGGGGGGCGGGCCCGAAAGGCAGCGGCGGCACCGCGUCCGGUCCUCGAGCGUAUGGGGCUUUGUCACCCGCUCUGUAGGCUCGGCCGGCGCUUGCCGAUCAACCAAACUUUUUUCCAGGUUGACCUCGGAUCAGGUAGGGAUACCCGCUGAACUUAAGCAUAUCAAUAAGCGGAGGA